CCCACAGAAAAGAUUUCUUCGGUGUUAGGAAAAUAAAUAGACUACAUAGCACUUUCUCGGUGAUUCAAAAUGAAACACGUUCUCAUAUCCAAACUCUAGACACUUGCUUGGGUUAGGUUAAGAAUGGAGCUCAACAGUAAUGACAAGGAGGGGAGGAAGAAUGGGGAGAGGAGGAAUAAGAAGGGAAGGGGAAGACGAGGAGAGGGGGAAAGGAUUCCCUACUUAACACAUCCGCUCCUCAAGCCUAUUUCAGUAUGGACAGGACAGUUUAAGGAUUACCUGCCUAACCCAUCUCCUUCUCCAGUCUACUUCAGUAUAGACGGCUUUGUGUGGUUCCAGUCGUGUUGUGGGCAGAAGAAUGGGAGAAAGGCUGAUCUAUGCUCCACUCAUCAACUGGAAGCAGAACAACCUUCUCUGACUUCACUGUCUCCUCUUACCAAGCUGUAAACUCAUUGGCUCUUUCCAAUCCUCACCAAGAUGGUAGCCUUCCAACAGAGCCCUACUCACGAGUGCCAAACUUGACACAUGUACCAUUCCCACACUGGUAGAGGGAAUAAUCAAGGAUGUCUUCUAUGCUUGGCAGUGGAGAUAUGGGGCCAUUCGUACGACUAUGAAUAUCUCCAUCUGCAAUUGCAGGCAGUAUGCAUUUGGGACUCUGAUGGAUAAAGGCUGGGGCUGGUUCCCUGGGUUCUCAAAGACCUCUAAGGUCCCUUGAAGCUCUAAAUGACAGUGCA